rnacentral:tRNA from 1 species
ACUUUCAUAGUUCAAUUUGGAAGAAUAACAGCUCUCCAUGUUGUUGAUUUGGGUUCAAGUCCCAGUGAAAGUA